CUUUUGCAUCAUGAGUUAGCCAGAAAAUCUCAAGCAAAGAGCACAUUAGUUUGAUUCCCCGAAACUACGUGAGCUACUUCAAGACAGCCUAAAAUAGGGCGAACCCAUCUCUGUAGCAAAAGAGUGGGAUGAGCUUCGAGUAGCGGUGACAGACCUAUCGAACCUAGUUAUAGCUGGUUGCCUGAGAAAUGAAUAGAAGUUCAGCCUUUCGAGUUCUCCCCUCAACCCCGUCUUCACCCCCGGACAACCAAAGAAAUCGAAAGAGUUAGUUAAAGGGGGUACAGCCCCUUUAACACAAGAUACAACUUUCCCAGGAGGGUAGAGAUCACAUUCAAAUUCCAAGGUAAAAUGAUUUGGUGGGCCUAAGAGCAGCCACCCCUAUAGAAUGCGUUAAAGCUCAAAUAUAAUUACCACCCCUAAUCCUGACC
rnacentral:rRNA from 1 species